rfam:Salmo salar isolate Sally breed double haploid chromosome ssa18, whole genome shotgun sequence.
CUAGCACCAAUUUGUAAGUCGCUCUGGAUAAGAGCGUCUGCUAAAUGACUUAAA